rnacentral:rRNA from 1 species
UGGGGAAUAUUGGACAAUGGGGGCAACCCUGAUCCAGCCAUGCCGCGUGAGUGAUGAAGGCCUUAGGGUUGUAAAGCUCUUUCGCCGGUGAAGAUAAUGACGGUAACCGGUAAAGAAGCCCCGGCUAACUUCGUGCCAGCAGCCGCGGUAAUACGAAGGGGGCUAGCGUUGUUCGGAAUUACUGGGCGUAAAGCGCGCGUAGGCGGGUCAUUAAGUCAGGGGUGAUAUCCCGGGGCUCAACCUCGGUAUUGCCUUUGAUACUGGUGACCUCGAGUCCGAGAGAGGUGAGUGGAACUCCGAGUGUAGAGGUGAAAUUCGUAGAUAUUCGGAAGAACACCAGUGGCGAAGGCGACUCACUGGACAAGUAUUGACGCUGAGGUGCGAAAGCGUGGGGAGCAAACAGGAUUAGAUACCCGUGUAGUCC